CCCUGGAGACCCCAGCAAUCUUGGCUUGUUGGCCUGAAGGGCUGUGAAUGUUAUACCAUGGUGCCACCUGGUGGAAUAUUUGUGCAGGAGCAUGACUUCCAUCCCACCAUCAAAUCAUCCUCUUUCUGCCCUAGCAGGUUUCUGCGUAUCCCUUGACUACAUCAGAUUCCAUCAGCAGGUUCAUCUUGCCUGAACUCCGGAGACACUUGGAAU
rnacentral:lncRNA from 1 species